UAUGUAGAUUGUUUGAAAAUACUAUAAGUUUUAGAAAAGGCUUCUAUUUUACAUGGGGGAUUCCCCUUCCUGUACUACCUGGAGCAACCAGCUGGUGGAAGGAGGCAGCAGCAGCAGGUACAGAUCCCUCUGCUCUUGGGAACUCACAACUCAUGGAGGAAGUCUCAUUUCUGCCUUACGAUGAUUUUCUGUUUGAAGUCACUCCAAACCUCUUGUGUUAUAAGACUCCGCAUUUUUCAUACAGAUUGUUUUUGGGCUACUGAACACAUGAAAGAGGUUAAAAAGCAUUUUCCAUGCAACUCACUGACACAGCACCUCCAAGCCACAGAUUCUGGGGGACCUCAGGAUGCUUAGAUCUAGAGAUAAGCUGUGUCAUGAAAUAUGGGAUUUUGACCUACUACGGUGAUCUCAGAAGAGAAGAAAAGCAACUGGGACUGAUUAUCCUGAUCUGAUAUGCAGAUAUGGCUCUGAAUUAAUCUUCUAUUUUAUAUAGACUACAGGCUUCAUUAUUAAUAACAUAUUACUUGUAUGUUCUGCUGUGUCAAAACUGGCAGUAGGGAGUUAUUCUCCCACCUAUUGUGAAUGUAUUAUUAAGAGGAAAAUAUUUUUGUAAUACCUGUAAACAUUCUCAAGUUUCACUGAACUUGCAUAAUAUAAUUAUCUUUUUGUAGAAAUGAGCCCUGGAAAUACCUAAGUCACCACAGGAGAAGUUAUGUGCUGAGACAGAGAUUUAUUUGAUAAGUUUUGUAAAGAUAAGCUGCAGUGUCUUUCCUGGAAAUAACUGCACAAACUUUAUGGAAAAUACAGGCAAUUUUUGAUUUCCAGUUAACUCCAGUCAUGUAACCUGAUGUUCAUUAUUUAUAACUGCGUGCAUUUGUCCAGCUAACGCAGACUGUCGUACCUUUGUGAAAUGAGUUAUAAACAUUCUCCUAAUAAAUGCCAAAUGUAUGGGUUACCA
rnacentral:lncRNA from 1 species